rnacentral:sRNA from 1 species
AUGAGCUCGAGCGAAGGCGACGCGGUGCUUGGUGUGGAUCGGAGCUCGGAUCGAAGGCGAUCGAAGGCGAGAUCGAGCGAAGGCGAUGUGGUGCUUGGACCGGAUCGGACGUCUGAACUUGCUGCUGUGCUUGGAGCUUGGAGCUUGGAUCGGAUCGGAGUACUGCUGUGUGAGAGAGAGCUUGGAGAUGUGUUGCUGUGUAAGAGAGAGCUUGGAGAAUUGAGAGAGUUUUUUUCCGGAAAUUGAUUGAAGGUAAAAUGGAAGGUGAAAUGCAUUUCCACCAGUUGAGGGCUUAUUUUCGGUCAAAGGGUAAAUUGAUUUCCGUUGACCCAAUUUUCCUAGAGAGCUCGAGCGGAGGCGAGAUCGAGCGAAGGCGACGCGGUGCUUGGUGUGGAUCGGAGCUCGGAUCGAAGGCGAUCGCCGGCGAUCGAAGGCGAGAUCGAGCAAAGGCGACGAGCUCGAGCGAAGGCGACGCGGUGCUUGGUGUGGAUCGGAGCUCGGAUCGAAGGCGAUCGCCGGCGAUCGAAGGCGAGAUCGAGCAAAGGCGAUGAGCUCGAGCGAAGGCGACGCGGUGCUUGGUGUGGAUCGGAGCUCGGAUCGAAGGCGAUCGAAGGCGAGAUCGAGCGAAGGCGAUGUGGUGCUUGGACCGGAUCGGACGUCUGAACUUGCUGCUGUGCUUGGAGCUUGGAGCUUGGAUCGGAUCGGAGUACUGCUGUGUGAGAGAGAGCUUGGAGAUGUGUUGCUGUGUAAGAGAGAGCUUGGAGAAUUGAGAGAGUUUUUUUCCGGAAAUUGAUUGAAGGUAAAAUGGAAGGUGAAAUGCAUUUCCACCAGUUGAGGGCUUAUUUUCGGUCAAAGGGUAAAUUGAUUUCCGUUGACCCAAUUUUCCUAGACAGCCAAACACAUCAAUUUUACGGAAAUUGAUUUCCGGAAGUAGUUUGAAGUUGAAACAAACACAGCCUUAAUGAUGAAAACAAAGGAAAUAUUUCUCUCUCUCUCUCUCUCUCUCUCUCUUUAAUUUGGAAAUAUGAUUUAGGUUUUGGUAUUGUGGUUUGAUUGGUUUUGAUUUAGGAAGAACAGAUGCUUGACAUUGAUUUGUAAAGCCUUUGCUUUUUUUAACUAGGGUUAUUUUAGGCAGUGUACCGAUGGUUAUUUUUCUUUCAUUUUUUAAAUUCCUCAGUUUAAAUUAUUUAAUAAAUUUACCAUCUUUGGCUCAUAUAUUUGUUUCAUGUUGACCUUUGGUUUUUGCAGUUCAAUCUUUAGUUGCUUAUUUUGGAUUCUCAUAUAUUAUGUUGGUUGCUGUAUUUUCAAUUGCUUAUUUUGGAUUCUCAUGUAUUAUGUUUGUUCCUUCCCCUAAGCCUAGGUACGCUUGCUUUCCUAGAUAUUUACUCCUUCCAAGUACAACAUUAAUUGGUUUCAUAGUAUUGUUUGUUACAUAUUUACAUGUCCAAAGCUGAAUUCAAGAAAAUCCUGUGGGUUUGUAUUUAAAAUACAAUACGAUUUCAAUAAUUCAAAACCUAACCCAAGCUAAUUCUUGCAUUGUUGCAACAGAGACUAGCUUUGGAAUUGAUAAACCUUCUAUUGGAAUUUCAAAAAGUGGAGGUAUGUUAAAUUUUGAUUACCAUAUGUUAAAUUGUUUUUUUAUCUAAUAAUAUGUCUUAUAGUUAGUAAUUUAUUUGAAUCAUCGAACCCUAUAUGCUCAGGCAGACAUCUGUAUGACAAAAUGCCUAAAAGAGGUAUUGUUUCAUGUUUGAAAUUUCACCUCAGUAUCAGAGAAUGUAGCUAACCAGUGCCUAUAAUCUCCCUUUGAUUUGUUUCAUUUAUUUCUCUUUUAUUUUCUCAGGGCUCAAACUCAGACCCUAUCCUCUCUCUCUAAUCUCAGCCAAAUCCAUCACCACUAUCAAUCACCACUCUAAACUUGCUUCGGUCUCUGAUGUUGCAUAAGGUAAUGUUUUGUAUUCAAUUCUUUAUUAUAAAAUAUUUUUUCAAAUUUAGUCAAUGUUUUGAGACUUAGACCAGUUCUUUUCUUAGUGCUAUUUGAUUACAAUUUAGAUGUCAUGGAGUGAAACUUAAUUUGUGUUGAUAAAAUUGUUGAUCGGUCGAUUACAAUUAUGCCUGAUGCUCUAUUCAUUCUCUAACAUAACAAAUGCUGUAAACUAUACUUAUCAAAGUUGCGUCAUUGAAUUUAUGGUUGCAGGGCUUCUUAGUUGGUGUUCUUUAAAUUGUGGUUAGCCUAUGAUAGGAAACUUGAUGGGAUCUAGAAUAUGAAUGAUUAAUUUUUGGGUUUGUGGUUUAGUAUCCCACAAAAUUUUCCUGCCAAAAUUAAAUGCAAAUUGGAUUUUGGUUUUUGGGUUUUUAUGUGGUCUUUUAAUAUUGUGAGUGAUUCCAAGCAUAUACAACCUACAUAAAAGAUCAACCUCGAGCAGCCUGUUGAGGUAAAAACAAAAAUCUAUGUUGUUAGGGGCAUAACCACAUAAAUAAAUUGCUAUACUUGUUAUGUUUGUUUUCAUAUUUAGUGUCAUAGUUAUGUUUUUCUUUUUUCUUUUUUAUCCUUUUUUUGAGAAAGAAGCUAAAUAAUAUUAUUAAAAAAGAUUGGCUAAAUCAGCUUGAAAUACAUAAAAAAGUUGUGGUGAAACAUCCUCCAUCCACACUAAAAUUUUGGAAUAUUAAUAGCGUAUCUAGCCAAACUAUGAGCAACAUAGUUCAGUUUUGCUAUAUUGGUAGUUCUAGCAAUAAUAAGUUGUGUAAUGUGUUUUUUACUUUUUUUGGUACCCUUGCAACUUCUUGAAACAUACAAAUAUAUAUGCAUUAUUUAAUCACACAUCCCUGCAUUGUGCAAUGCUUAAGGCCAAAAUUUGUGACUUUUUAAAAAUUAAUGGCAAAUAUAGUAGGCAAGAUCACCAUUGAGCAAUUGUAGGCAAUGAGAGUUUUAGUAGGGAUGGCAUUAACAGAACAAGAUCCUUGGUCCCUUUGUAAGUGUUUGUUUCCAAUUAAUUUGUUUCUUCUAUUUGAUUUGUAUAUUUUUGGGAUAUGCUUUUGGUGUUAUUGAAAUUGUUUUGGAUAUUAGGAAUUGGAAUUGUCUUGGAUCUUGAUAAAAGUUUUUAGGAGUUGAGAUUGUUAAAUUAGCUUCACCAUCCCAUUUCAGUUUUCAAUUUACUCUUCUAUCGUACUUUUAGAAAUCUAUGCAUAUAGGACAUAAAUAAGAAAACUAUAAAGUCAGUACUAUUAUUCAAAUGAUUAUUCAAAAUGAAAAUGGCAUUGACCUUUUUCUAAAGCCAAGAAUUUUAUAGGUUUAAUCAUUAUUGUUAGAGAUAGUCGUGGUUCUCCUAUAUAGCCCAUAGUGAAUUAAUUCCUUGCCAAGACCCAUUGUGGAUGGUUGCUACAACUCUGUUGAGAGCAUCACAUUUGCUGGCAUUAAUUCACUUGCAGGAACCACGCUUUAAGGAGAUUUUAGAUGUGUUAAAACAUAUUCAUGCUUUUGUGUAUUAUGCAGAAAAUGUAUAUUAUAGGACAAUUUCUAAACAGUAUAAUAAGUUAGACAAUGCUUUAGCCAAUCAUGCCAAGGAGUUGAGGAACCUAUACACUUGGAAUAUUUUCAAUAAAAUUCUAUCAAUUUUGAUUAAUAAUAACAAUAAUAAACUAUUUAGUUUAAUUCAGUUUUGUCAUUUCUAAAAAAUAAAGGUAGAAUAUAUAACCCAAUGAGAGAUUUUAUUCCUCAAUUUUCUUCUUUCUAAACCCUAGAACUUGCACCUUUUAUGGUUUCUAGACCUCUCCCUUCCCUUUAAAAGACCCAGUUCUUGCUUUAACUCUCUAUUUGUAAAUUUUGUCAUUCCAACCAUAACAUCAUUAACUACAAUGUCUCAAGUCUAGCCUUUGUUUAGUAUGAACAUGUGACUGUAAAGUGACUGUUUUUAUUUUUAUUUUUUAUUUUUAUUGUUUAUCUCUCUACAGUUUUGAUUAUAAAUACAUUUCCCUUUUAUUUUUAUUGUUUAUUUCUCCCCCAAUGUUUUUUCCCUUUCAACUCACACCCUUUUAAUUUUCAUUAUUAAAUACCCAUUUAUUUACAUAUCAUCUACAUCUUUAUUUAUUUAUUUAGGGUUGUUUUUUAGUUUGGAAGACCACACAAAUUUUGACUUCUUCUUUUUUUUGGAUUGUUUUUUUUGUUUGGAAGAUUGCACAAAUUUUGACAACACUACCAAGCCAAAAAGCCUUUGUGAACUGCACUCAAGCAUGCCUUUAGUUUUGGUUUGGCAUAAAAUUGAAACAAAUGCCAUAAAUAUCUAGAUUUUUUUCUUUUGUAUUCUUAAUGUUUGAAUAAAACCAUAAAGUACAAUUUAAACAUGUUUCACAUAAGCUUUUGAGAUCUCAAGUCAUGUUGUAUUUAUAUAUGGCAAAAGAUAGUACCAUUUUCCACCUUAGCACAAUUCGUACUAGUAUUUUAUUUAUAACUUGGAUAUAUUGAAGUUUUUUUGUGUGUGAAUAAUCUAUUUUGUUAUUUAUUUCUGAAUCUCAUGAUGAAAACCAAUGGAAUAUUUAUUUUCAUGAAGAUUAUAGAAAUGUUGAACUUUUUUAAUAAUUCAAUAGUUGGGGUGGAGUUAUUAUGAAAUUUAUUGACAUUAAGAGUGUUUGGUUUUACAUUGUAAAUCUUUGAUGAAUUGGUAUAAUUUGGUGUUAUACUUGAUACUAAUUUGGUGAAAAAUUAAGUAGCUUGAAGAAGUUGAGAAAAGAGAAGAGCCUAAGAAAGGGAGGAAAUACAUUCUUGAAAAGCAUUGGAUAAAGCUUGAAGAUGUAAGCACAAUUGUAUAUUUAUUCUAUUUACUGGUUCUUUUGCAAUACUUAUUAAACCAAAUGUAAGAGCAUAUUAUGGUUAUUGUAAUAUAUUACUUCAUAAUAUUUGUAUUUAUCUCAUUUUUAAUAUUACUUCAUAAUAUUACAUAUUUCAUCUUAUAUUAUAGCCAAUUUAACUUUCAAUAAUUGAAAUUUGAGAAAUGUUUAAACCUAAACAUAUUAAAAUUUGAUUUAAAACAAUCCCGUGCAUUGCACGAAUUAGCGACUAGUUCCAAUAGAAUUUCAUUCUUGCAUGUACGUUGUGUAUGACCAACGUUUUGCUUAAAGUGCAUCACAACAUUUUGUACAACAUCACAGUGUACAUGCACAUGAGAUUCUGCAUUUGAAUAGACAUGGUUAAGAGUAAUUAUGGUCAAGGAUGUCAUAAAGAUCUUGUACCCCAAGUUCCAACAACCCAAGUUCUAGUAAGCCUAAUCUAAUGGUAAGGUUGUCCUAUAUGUCUUUUCUUGAAGUCCAGUAGCAAAGCCCAAUAUUUUGAAUGUUUUUUUCCCUCCAAUAAGAUCAUUAAUGAGUUAUUAUUCCCAAAGAAGUUAGAUAGCAUUUACUUAGUAAUUCCUAGGGAAUAAUCGUAAUUUUUGUUUAAGUUCUCAUAGGCAAACCAAUCAUUUAUUUUGUUUUUAGUUUCUAUGAGUCUUAUUUGACUUUGUUUCGAAAAAUUUAAUGCUUUGUUUCCUAUUUUCAUCCUCCCAAACUUAGAGGUUUUUUCUAAGCUUUCAUAUAAGCUAUUUGGUUGGAAUAAAUAACUAGAGUAUAUUUUGAGACUAUAUAGCUUUUGUGCUUUAGAAGACAAAUUUCUUCAAAAUUAGCUCCUACUCUUGGGUGGAUUCCUUUGUGUGGUGGUUUUUUAAUCUCUUUGGGUGAUAAUAAUUUGUAUCUCAUUGAGUGGUGAACUAUUUAAUCGCUUUUAUUAUUGAGUCUUUGAUCAAAUCCAUCUUCCAAAAUUAUAUUCUAGCCAUCCCUCACUCUCCUUAUUGGAUUAGUUUAGGUAUUCCUUUAGGAAUCCAAAGUCAAAUCUUUUUAUUGUUGUAAUUUCUUCCUCUACGGGCAUGUAGUACCUCAUGAGUUUGAUGAUCAUUGUCAUAAGGAAAUGUAUCAUGCCCUUAGCUUUUUGAUAAGAUAACUGUGCUUUUGUUAUUCAUAGCACCAGCACAUACCCUAACAUACACAAAACCCUCUAUUUAUAGUGCUACCUCAUCUAAUAGAACUAGAAAAGUUUUACUUAAAGCAUUUAUCAUAACCUAAGAAUCCAUAAAAAGAAUUUAAAGAGAAUUUGAUACCUGGCUCAGCAAAAACCAACUAGCAAUUGAAAAAUAUUUGGUCAAACACUUUUUUUUUAGUAAUGCUAUGGCUACAAUUUUUUUACAAAUCGUUGAGAUGACAAAUUUUUAUUGGGCCCAAUACUGACAUUACUUUUUUAUUUACUAAUAACUAUGCAAUAUAUCAGUUAGCGGUAAAAAUUUUUGUAGCUCUAACAUAUCUGCAUAUAGUUAUAUUCUAUACUAUAUAUAAGAAGAGCAAAACUUAAGUACAGUAGCUUAGAUACAGUCCCUUAGGUUUCCUAUUUAAAAUUUUGACACAUGUCCAAUAUAAUAAACACAGUAAACGGCGUUAAAACUAAAUAUUUUUUUUUCUUCCUUCAUCCUUCUUUUUCCUGCUCCAACAAAUGUCUUCCCUUCCAAACCCAAAACCUUUCUCUUCCAAACCACCCAUGACCCUUCUCUUCCAAACCCAAAACCCAUAUUUCCUUCUUCCUUCUUUUUCCUGUACCUGCAAAUGGCUUCUCUUCCAAACCCAAAACCUUUCUCUUCCAAACCCAAAACCCAAAAAAGAAAAAAAAAAAUCUCACAUCUCUCUCUCUCUCUCUCUCUCUCUCUCUCUCUCUCUGUGUGUGUGUGUGUGUGUGUGUGUGUGUGUGUUUGUUUGUUUUGGAUCCACUAAUGGUUUGAUAGGAGGGUCUAUGAAGGUGUUGAUUAUGUCGUCUAAUGCAUUGAAAAUCAGUGUUGGCACUGAUGGCUCUACUUUUCUCUUUGUUGAUUGUAAAGAAUUUGAAGAUGAUGAUCUUAUGGAGGAUGGGGUUUGGGAUGUUGUUUUUAGAGGUGGGGUGGUUGAAGUGGAAAUGGGUUGUGUAGUUUUUGUUGUUGGGGUUUGUUGGGGCUUUUCUGAUCUAUGAUUCUUUCUUUUCUGAUCUAUGACUCUUUCUUCUUUUCUGAUCUAUGAUUCUUUCUUUUCUGAUCUAUGAUUUUUUUCUUCUUUUCUAAUCUAUGAUUCUGUGGAAUCUGAAUGGAUCAGAUCUAAUUGGAUCUGAUCGUAGCUUCAAGUUCAGGUGCCGUUUUUUGUUUAAAACCUAGUAGAUCUAGCUUUUAUUUUUUGAUCUUUCCUGUUUGGUUAUUGAGAAAAUGAGGAAGAAGAGUCCCUUUUUGUGGUUUGAAACCCAGUAGAAAAUGAGGCAACUGGAGAUUUGAAGCUGUGGGAUCUUGCAUACAGGAAAAAAAAAGGAAGAAGGAAAAAGGAAAAAAAUUUAAGCCGUGGGUUAAUGCCGUUUGUUUAGGAUGUCAAAUUGGACAGAUGUCAAAAUUUUAGAUAGGGAACCUAAGAUACUGUACCUAGGGUACUGUACCUAAGUUUUGCCAAUAUAAGAAUAUAUUUAUAUUUUAUACUAUAUAUAAGAUGAUUCCCCUCUUUCAACUAGACUUUUACGUGAUUCAAAAAUACCCUCAUUAAUGAAUGAUAACUUCAUUUAAAAAUAGGGUCAUAAAUGUUAAAUAAUAAAUUUUAUUUUGAAUUCAAAAAGAGAAUUCCUAAAAUUAAUGAUUUUUUAAUCUUCACAUUCAAAAAAGAAAUUACAAUUACUACUUAUUUCUAAAGUUGAUCAUUUUUCUUUGUUUGAAAAAUAAAAUAAUAUAUUUCUAAGAGCACUCAUAGCAGUGGAGGCAUAUUGCUAUAUUGCUAAAAUUUAGCUCCUCCAACACUAAAAUCAUGCUCCAGCAGUGGAGCUAAAUCUAAAAAAUUUAGCUUCAUUGCUAUAGUGCACAUCUAUAGAUAGAUGUGUACUGUUCAUGAGAGCUAAAAAAAAAAAAAAAUUAUUUUAUUCUACUUCCUGAUUAAAAUAAUGCCACUUGCUCUCUCUCUCACUCUGUGUCUCUCUCUCAGCUUUCAGUCCUCUCACGCCGCCACCCCCCUGACCCACGUCGCCGACCCAUGCCUUCACAGACCUAGCUCCGACCACGGCAACCCCUACCAUCACCACCACCACCACCACCACAUCAGUCACAAAUCCAACCAUACCCACACUUAUCAAACCCACUACCACCAAUAUCAAUCACCACCUCCACCACGGCAACCCCUACCACCACCACCACCACAUUAGUCACAAACCCAACCACACCUAUACUCAUCAAACCCACCACUAACAGGAAAAAAGAAGAAGAAGCAAACAUCGACAAAACCCACGGCCAAAACAUCACCAAAACCCAUGGCGGCAGAUCGGAAGAGAAAGAUGAAAGAUCUGGCGGUUUUUGAAUUUGACAUCGUCAGCGGCUUUGCUAGAUAUCGGCAGCAGCGGCUUUGACUUCUUCUAGUUUUUUGGGUUCGGUUAGGGGGAGAAGUGCAAAGCAUGGAUUUGGUAGCAUGGGUUUUUGGGUUCAAUCAGAGGGAAAAGGAUCCUGGAGUGGUGAUGGCUUGGUCGAGGGAAGGGGAGCAACAUGGGAGAAGAAGGCAAGGGAGCUGGCAGCGUGUUGA